UUUCGUUUUCAAUCCGCGUUGCCCCUCCAAUGAACCCGUGUUGCCUCCUCGUUGAACCCGUGUUUCCGCCGUGUUUACCCCAACGUUCGUUAAUCUUCUUCCUUUGUUUACCCCAAGGUUCGUCAAUCUUCUUCCUUCACUUCCGCCGAACAAACAUUAUUAUGUGUAUUUCUUUCGAUUCAGGCCUCCUUCUUUUCUGGUUGAAUUCGGUGUUUUUCUUCUACUUGUCUCAUUCGCGAGUUUCAUCGGCGCGUGUUGUCGCGUGAGAUGGCUUCUCUGGAUUUACCUUUUUCGUUAUGUUCAUUCUCAUCCUUCUUCUCUUCGUCUUCACCAUCUCUGCGUUCACCGUCACCAACAAAGCCGCCGGAAAAGUUCUCUCAAACAAAGGAUAUAAAGAGUACAGACUCGGUGAUUACUCCAACUGGCUACAGAAUCGCGUCAGGAACAAAGAUUGGAACAGAAUAAAAAACUGUCGACGACAAGGUGUGUGUCGAAUUCAACUAGAAAAUCGCUUCUGAAACCAUUGCGCAAUUCUACCAAGAACACUUAUCUUCAAUUCAGUUUGGGUGUUGCAAACCGGCAGAUGAGUGUAAUUUCACGUACAAGGCACCGACUCAGUGGGAAAAACCGGCGAAUGUUUCAAGUUUUUCGAAUCCGGAUUGUGGUUCGUGGGAUAAUAGACCUGAAAAGUUGUGCUUUUGAUUGAGAAUCCUGCAAAGGUGGAGUGUUGGAUAAUUUGAAAAGGAACCGGAAGGUACUGGUUUAGCAGAGAAGGCGAUGGUGGUUCUGAGUAGCCUGGCUAGGAUUCAAGAGGGAAAGAAUGCGAUUGUGGAAGAGGGUGGAAUUGUUGCGCUUGUAGAAGCAAUUGAAGAUGGGUCGGUGAAAGGGAAAGAAUUUGCAAUGUUGACACUCUUGCAAUUGUGUGUUGAGAGGUGAGAAAUUGAGGGUUGCUCGUGAGUGAAGGUGGAAUUCCCCAUUUAGUUGCACUUUCUCAGACUGGAAGCGUUCAAGCAAAGCAUAAGGCAGAAACACUUCUAGGUAUAUAAGAUAACCAAGACAAGUUGCAUCAUCAUCAAGUCCUUAACAAUUGGCCUGAUAUGGUUUUUUUAGGAGGUAAUUGUAUUAUUAAGUAGUGGUAUCGUGUAUAGGAAGUGGUUUUUUUGAUGGUUUGUACAACAUGGUUGAGAAUGUUGGAAGAAUGAAGUUUAUAGAAUGAAGUUAGUGCAGUUAGUAAAGCCAAAAAGCUGACGGUUAGAGAAAAAGUUGUAUGAUUUUUAACUAGGUUAUGAGAUAUCCUUUUUAAUGACAUUCCAAUUUACUAAAUAGUGUAAUAUCACUUGGUUUGAUUUUCUGGGUUUGGGGAUUUGAUGAAAUUCUGAUUGGUGGUUGUGUGUCUUGAACUUAAAUUCUGUGGAACUCAUCACCUUUCUUGUAGCUCUAUGUGAAGUACAUUGAAGUUCUGUAAUUUACAUAAUUUAUUUUUCA